CAGGAUGANNCUGGGGGCGUGCUUAACACAUGCAAGUCGAACGGAGAUAUCAUUUUCGAAGCGAUUAGUUUACUAAGAGUGGAGAUGUUGGUAUCUUAGUGGCGGACGGGUGAGUAACGCGUGGGUAACCUGCCUUACACUGGGGGAUAACACUUAGAAAUAGGUGCUAAUACCGCAUAACAGGGAAAGAUGCAUGUCUUUUCCUUGAAAACUCCGGUGGUGUAAGAUGGACCCGCGUCUGAUUAGCUGGUUGGCGGGGUAACGGCCCACCAAGGCGACGAUCAGUAGCCGGCCUGAGAGGGUGAACGGCCACAUUGGGACUGAGACACGGCCCAAACUCCUACGGGAGGCAGCAGUGGGGAAUAUUGGACAAUGGGGGGAACCCUGAUCCAGCGACGCCGCGUGAGUGAAGAAGUGUUUCGGUAUGUAAAGCUCUAUCAGCAGGGAAGAAAGAAAUGACGGUACCUGACUAAGAAGCCCCGGCUAACUACGUGCCAGCAGCCGCGGUAAUACGUAGGGGGCAAGCGUUAUCCGGAUUUACUGGGUGUAAAGGGAGCGUAGACGGCGAUGCAAGUCUGAAGUGAAAGGCGGGGGCCCAACCCCCGGACUGCUUUGGAAACUGU
rnacentral:rRNA from 1 species